GGCGCGAGCAGGUGCGAAAGCAGGUCAUAGUGAUCCGGUGGUUCUGAAUGGAAGGGCCAUCGCUCAACGGAUAAAAGGUACUCCGGGGAUAACAGGCUGAUACCGCCCAAGAGUUCAUAUCGACGGCGGUGUUUGGCACCUCGAUGUCGGCUCAUCACAUCCUGGGGCUGAAGUAGGUCCCAAGGGUAUGGCUGUUCGCCAUUUAAAGUGGUACGCGAGCUGGGUUUAGAACGUCGUGAGACAGUUCGGUCCCUAUCUGCCGUGGGCGCUGGAGAACUGAGGGGGGCUGCUCCUAGUACGAGAGGACCGGAGUGGACGCAUCACUGGUGUUCGGGUUGUCAUGCCAAUGGCACUGCCCGGUAGCUAAAUGCGGAAGAGAUAAGUGCUGAAAGCAUCUAAGCACGAAACUUGCCCCGAGAUGAGUUCUCCCUGACUCCCUGAGAGUCCUGAAGGAACGUUGAA
rnacentral:rRNA from 1 species